UUUAACUGAGCGUUCAGUUACUUGACGUAGACCCGAAACCGGGCGACCUACCCAUGAGCAGGAUGAAGCGAAAGUAAAAUUUCGUGGAGGUCCGAACCCACGAGCGUUGAAAAGCUCGGGGAUGACUUGUGGGUAGCGGUGAAAUUCCAAUCGAGCCCGGAGAUAGCUGGUUCUCCCCGAAAUAGCUUUAGGGCUAGCCUCAAGGUGAGAGAUACGGAGGUAGAGCACUGAAUGUCCUAGGGGGUAUUGCACCUACCGAAGACUAUCAAACUCCGAAUGCCGUCAUCUUAUACUUGGGAGUCAGACUGUGGGUGAUAAGAUUCAUAGUCGAAAGGGCAACAGCCCAGAUCGUCAGCUAAGGUCCCUAAAUGUAAGUUAAGUGGUAAAGGAUGUGGGAUUGCACAGACAACCAGGAUGUUGGCUUAGAAGCAGCCACUCAUUCAAAGAGUGCGUAAUAGCUCACUGGUCGAGUGAUCCUGCGCCGAAGAUUUCCGGGGCUAAAACUUACUACCGAAGCUACGGCAUCAGUAAUGAUGGGUAGGGGAGCUUCCCAUACGGGUUGAAGCAUGACCGUAAGGACAUGUGGACAGUAUGGGAGUGAGAAUGUUGGCAUGAGUAGCGAGAUGUGGGUGAGAAUCCCACAGGCCGUAAACCCAAGGUUUCCAGGGGAAGGUUCGUCCGCCCUGGGUUAGUCGGGACCUAAGCUGAGGCCGAAAGGCGUAGGUGAUGGACAACAGGUUGAUAUUCCUGUACUACCGAUAACCGUUUGAGAGAAGGGAUGACACAGUAGGAUAAGCUAAGCACACUGUUGGUUAUGUGUGCCCAAGCAUUGAGGCAGUCAAAGUAGGCAAAUCCGCUUUGAUAAUGCUGGGAUGUGAUGGGGAGCGAAAUUUAGUAGCGAAGUAGCUGAUUUCACACUGUCAAGAAAAGUCUCUAUCGAGGUUAAAGGUACCCGUACCGCAAACCGACACAGGUGGGUGAGGAGAGUAUCCUAAGGCCAGCGAGAGAACUGUUGUUAAGGAACUCGGCAAAAUGACCCCGUAACUUAGGGAUAAGGGGUGCCACCAUUAGGUGGCCGCAGAGAAUAGGCCCAAGCGACUGUUUACCAAAAACAUAGGUUUCUGCUAAGUCGCAAGACGAUGUAUAGGAGCUGACGCCUGCCCGGUGCUGGAAGGUUAAGGGGAUCUGUUAGAGUAAUCGAAGCAGUGAACUUAAGCCCCAGUAAACGGCGGCCGUAACUAUAACGGUCCUAAGGUAGCGAAAUUCCUUGUCGGGUAAGUUCCGACCCGCACGAAAGGCGUAACGAUUUGGGCACUGUCUCAACAACAGACUCGGUGAAAUUGUAAUUCCGGUGAAGAUGCCGGAUACCUGCGACAGGACGGAAAGACCCCAUGGAGCUUUACUGUAGCUUGACAUUGGGUCUUGGUACUACAUGUACAGGAUAGGUGGGAGGCUUUGAAACCAGGACGCCAGUUUUGGCGGAGCCAUCCUUGGGAUACCACCCUUGUAGUACUGGGACUCUAACCAUAGGCCAUGAAUCUGGUCUUGGGACACUGUCAGGUGGGCAGUUUGACUGGGGCGGUCGCCUCCCAAAAGGUAACGGAGGCGCUCAAAGGUUCUCUCAGUACGGUCGGAAAUCGUACGUAGAGUGUAAAGGCAAAAGAGAGCUUGAUUGCAAGACAUACAGGUCGAGCAAGGAUGAAAAUCGGACUUAGUGAUCCGGUGGUUCUGCGUGGAAGGGCCAUCGCUCAACGGAUAAAAGCUACCCUGGGGAUAACAGGCUUAUCUCCCCCAAGAGUCCACAUCGACGGGGAGGUUUGGCACCUCGAUGUCGGCUCAUCACAUCCUGGGGCUGUAGUAGGUCCCAAGGGUUGGGCUGUUCGCCCAUUAAAGUGGUACGCGAGCUGGGUUCAGAACGUCGUGAGACAGUUCGGUCCCUAUCCGUCGCAGGCGUAGGAAAUUUGAGAAGACCUGUCCUUAGUACGAGAGGACCGGGAUGGACG
rnacentral:rRNA from 1 species